ensembl:snRNA U6 U6 spliceosomal RNA
GUGCCUGCUUUGCAGCACAUAUACUAAAAAUUGAAUGAUACAGAGAGUAUUAACAUGGCCCCUGUGCAAGGAGGACACUCAAAGUCAUGAAGUGUUCUAUAUUUUU